AUUGCCUCUAACCAUUUCUCGGAGUCGAUAUCUGAUAUCACCUCAUCAUAGGUCUUGGGGUCAUCACCAUGAGCCCCAUUUCUCGUGAGGAAUAUUUUUUCUACUUCCUCUUGUAUAGUACCUAAGUCCUUUCAGGAGGAUGGAAAACCCUAGUCGAUCUAUGAGGUGGAAGAGGUUGUAUUAGGACUGGUUCUAAUUGAUUGGGUUCCACAGGUUCUUUAGCUCAUUGUUCUUGGGAGACAUUCUCCUUGAGCUUAAUUAUUCUUUUCAUGCCACCAUCUUGAAUAAACUAUUUUUUUAAAAAAAUAGCAUGUCGAUUCACAAUCAUAUUGUGAUCUUACAAAAUAUAGAAAUAGUAUCCUAAUGACUCUUUAGGAUAUCCUAUGAAUCGAGCUCUAAAAGACCUGAACUCUAAUUUGUCCGCCUGCUGUCUCUUGACAUGAGCCGGACAACCCCAAAUUCUG
rnacentral:lncRNA from 1 species